UAGGCAGGAUUUUGUACACAUAAUGCACGCGGCUGAAUUGCAUUGUCGAUUGUAUUACGGAAUACGCCGGUGAAAAAUCUCACAAUGAGUUCCAGAAAAGUUAUGGCAAUCCAGGCGAGAAAGAAGCGUAAGCCACCAAAACAUCGCAGAACGGAUGACCGUGGUGGACCCAAGAAACCAACGGCAACUACGGGGCCCCAGUCGCAGGCUACGCAGUAAGUAGUGCAGUGACGUGAAUGCAUGCGUGUUGUCUUUACCCCAUUCAUUCAUAUUGACUUGAUCAACAUGGGCCGAGUUUAGACUUUACUUUAGCUGGAAAUGUGCCGUUGAAUUAACUAGAUCUACAAUGUUCAGUGGAAACAAGCAAAUAAAUGAAAUCGACAAAGCAUCAAGUUUUAGGUGUCAUCAAUUGUCAUUAAACGGACAAUGAAUGAUGUUUGACUUUGAGAUUAGUUUGAACAUUUUGAGAAUCAAUAUUAAAACUUAAAGAGAGUCUUCAUUUUUUUAAAUUCCACACAACGCAGCUAUGAGUGGUCUAAUCUAUUGUUUAUCAGGUUUAUGCAGAUAAAUAGAGCUCUAAGUCUAACAUUAGGUUAACUUGAGUCUAAGUUAUUCAGUCUUACAAAUCUAGACCUUGACUUGAAUACCUUGAAAUGUUGUUAGACGAGUUAAAAAUAAUUAACUUAUUAACUUAUUACCUCAUUACCUGAUUUACUGAAAAAAAUGCAGAGUUCUUGAGUGUAGAUCAUGUAUAUCAGAUCUAUCUGUCAUCCAGGGGGCCGUUUCUUGAAACCUUCAGAAGUCUAAUUUCUUGGACAUCCCAUUGAAACAUGUGUUGUUAUAGAAUUAACUGUCCACAAACUUAGACUUAGACUUAUUCGAGAGACUGCUCCCAAGUUCCAUCUUCCUUCUUUUAUAGUUUUGAUCUCAUGAGGUGUAACAGUAACGGUGUGUAAUAUGGCAACUGUUUAAACGUUGAUUUAAUCUAAUGACUAGUCUCAUCUUUCCAAGGGUGAGAAUUUGAUGUAGUUCAUCACACCAAAAUUUGUCAAGUCUGGCUUUGAAAGAGUUCACAGAUGCAUGUGGCAGUGACAACCUCAGUUGGUAGGGAGUUCCAGUCACUCACCGCUCUAACUCUGGGAGU